AUUGAACGCUAGCGGGAUGCUUUACACAUGCAAGUCGAACGAGUGGCGGACGGGUGAGUAAUAUAGCGGAACGUGCCCAGUAGAGGGGGAUAAAUAGUCGAAAGCGUGGCUAAUACCGCAUACUAGUGGAGCGGACGAUGUCGGAUUAGCUAGUUGGUGGGGUAAAGGCUCACCAAGGCAACGAUCCGUAGCUGGUUUGAGAGGACGACCAGCCACACUGGGACUGAGACACGGCCCAGACUCCUACGUGAGGCAGCAGUGGGGAAUAUUGGGCAAUGGAGGAAACCCUGAUCCAGCCAUCCCGCGUGUAUGAGAAGGCCUUCGGGGUGUAAAUUACUUUUGGCAGAGAAGCGGUAUCUGCAGAAUAAGCACCGGCUAACUACGUGCCAGCAGCCGCGGUAAUAC
rnacentral:rRNA from 1 species